UUUUUUACGUGGUGGUCUUCUAUAAAUUCCUUGUUGUAAAAACCGCAACCAUUAUAGUGCAUUUGCUUCCUGAGACGGAAAGACACUGAAUGUAGGCAUUGUUGGCUGAACCAGUAUAAAAACCAUUGUUUGAUUUUCUCUAUCCCUGCACUUUUACUUAUAGUCGACUUUACUAUUUGCGUAGUCAACUACGUUUUUCUGCUCAC
rnacentral:lncRNA from 1 species